rnacentral:rRNA from 1 species
GCUGGGGUUCCACCUUGCUUGUGCAGCCCGCCGUUGCGUCAGGUUGGGUGUCUUUAAACGGAUGCCCAUCUUUGGACGUGACCCCUUUACCUUGAACAAAUCGGAGUGCUCAAAGCAGCUCCUUUCGCUCGAACGGUAGCGCAUGGAAUAAUGGAAAAGGACCCGCUUUCUUUUCUGCUGGUCUAACGAAAGCAGGUAAUGAUCAAGAGGGACGGAUGGGGGCAGAGGUAUGGCUCGGCGAGAGGUGAAAUUCUUGGACCCCAGCCAGACCCUCGAGGGCGAAAGCAUCUGCCAAAGAUGUUACCAUUGAUCAAGAACGAAAGUCGCGGGAUCGAAGCGGAUUAGAGACCCGGACGUAGUCGCGACCGUAAACGAUGCCCAACCGGGAAUUUGACAGCGUUACUUCCAUGACCUGCCAAGCGCCCGACCCGGGAAACCGAGAGUUUUGGGUUCCGGGGGGAGUAUGGUUGCAAAGCUGAAACUUAAAGGAAUUGACGGAAGGGCACCACCAGAAGUGGAGCCUGCGGCUUAAUUUGACUCAACACGGGGAACCUCACCCGGCCCGGACACCGCGAGGAUUGACAGACUGAGAGCUCUUUCUCGAUUCGGUGGGUGGUGGUGCAUGGCCGUUCUUAGUUGGUGGAGCGAUCUGUCUGGUUAAUUCCGAUAACGAACGAGACCCCAUCCUGCUAACUAGCCCUCGGGUCCGGCUUCUGGCGGGCCCGAUGGAAUGACUCGCUUCUUAGAGGGACUCGCGGCGCCUAGCCGCACGAAGGGGGGCGAUAACAGGUCUGUGAUGCCCUUAGAUGUUCGGGGCUGCACGCGCGCUACACUGAAGGCACCAGCGUGCGCUUUGUCCGUUCCCUGCCUGAAAAGGCCGGGUAACCCGCUGAACCGCCUUCGUGCCUGGGAUAGGGAUUUGCAAUUAUCUCCCUUGAACGAGGAAUUCCCAGUAGGCGCGAGUCAUCAGCUCGCGUCGAUUACGUCCCUGCCCUUUGUACACACCGCCCGUCGCUACUACCGAU